CAGUAGCCGCGGUAAUACGUAGGUGGCAAGCGUUGUCCGGAAUUAUUGGGCGUAAAGGGCUCGCAGGCGGUUUCUUAAGUCUGAUGUGAAAGCCCCCGGCUCAACCGGGGAGGGUUAUUGGAAACUGGGAAACUUGAGUGCAGAAGAGGAGAGUGGAAUUCCACGUGUAGCGGUGAAAUGCGUAGAGAUGUGGAGGAACACCAGUGGCGAAGGCGACUCUCUGGUCUGUAACUGACGCUGAGGAGCGAAAGCGUGGGGAGCGAACAGGAUUAGAUACCCGCGUAGUCCCUGUCUCUUAUAC
rnacentral:rRNA from 1 species